rnacentral:rRNA from 1 species
CCUACGGGAGGCAGCAGUGAGGAAUAUUGGUCAAUGGGCGCGAGCCUGAACCAGCCAAGUAGCGUGAAGGAUGACUGCCCUACGGGUUGUAAACUUCUUUUAUAAAGGAAUAAAGUGAGGCACGUGUGCCUUUUUGUAUGUACUUUAUGAAUAAGGAUCGGCUAACUCCGUGCCAGCAGCCGCGGUAAUACGGGGGAGCCGACAGUUAUCCGGAUUGAUUGGGUUUAAAUGGAGCGUAGAUGGGUUGUUAAGUCAGGUGUGAAAGUUUGCGGCUCAACCGUAAAAUUGCAAUUGAUACUGGCAGUCUUGAGUACAGUUGAGGUAGGCGGAAUUCGUGGUGUAGCAGUGAAAUGCGUAGAUAUCACGAAGAACUCCGAUUGCGAAGGCAGCUUACUAAACUGCCACUGACAUUGAUGCUCGAAAGUGUGGGUAUCAAACAGGAUUAGAUACCCCGGUAGUC